rnacentral:rRNA from 1 species
UACGAAGGGGGCUAGCGUUGCUCGGAAUUACUGGGCGUAAAGGGUGCGUAGGCGGCUGUUUAAGUCUGUCGUGAAAUCCCCGGGCUCAACCUGGGAAUGGCGAUGGAUACUGGGCAGCUAGAGUGUGUCAGAGGAUGGUGGAAUUCCCGGUGUAGCGGUGAAAUGCGUAGAGAUCGGGAGGAACAUCAGUGGCGAAGGCGGCCAUCUGGGACAACACUGACGCUGAAGCACGAAAGCGUGGGGAGCAAACAGG